rnacentral:piRNA from 1 species
UCUUAUUUUCAUGUCAGAAAC